AUCGUUUAUUUGAUAGUACCUUACUACAUGGAUACCUGUGGUAAUUCUAGAGCUAAUACAUGCUGAAAACCUCGACUUCGGAAGGGGUGUAUUUAUUAGAUAAAAAACCAAUGCCCUUCGGGGCUCCUUGGUGAAUCAUAAUAACUUAACGAAUCGCAUGGCCUUGCGCCGGCGAUGGUUCAUUCAAAUUUCUGCCCUAUCAACUUUCGAUGGUAGGAUAGUGGCCUACCAUGGUGGCAACGGGUAACGGGGAAUUAGGGUUCGAUUCCGGAGAGGGAGCCUGAGAAACGGCUACCACAUCCAAGGAAGGCAGCAGGCGCGCAAAUUACCCAAUCCCGACACGGGGAGGUAGUGACAAUAAAUACUGAUACGGGGCUCUUUUGGGUCUCGUAAUUGGAAUGAGUACAAUCUAAAUCCCUUAACGAGGAACAAUUGGAGGGCAAGUCUGGUGCCAGCAGCCGCGGUAAUUCCAGCUCCAAUAGCGUAUAUUAAAGUUGUUGCAGUUAAAAAGCUCGUAGUUGAACCUUGGGUCUGGCUGGCCGGUCCGCCUCACCGCGAGUACUGGUCCGGCUGGACCUUUCCUUCUGGGGAAUCUCAUGGCCUUCACUGGCUGUGGGGGGAACCAGGACUUUUACUGUGAAAAAAAUUAGAGUGUUCAAAGCAGGCCUUUGCUCGAAUACAUUAGCAUGGAAUAAUAGAAUAGGACGUGCGGUUCUAUUUUGUUGGUUUCUAAGGACCGCCGUAAAUGAUUAAUAGGGAUAGUCGG
rnacentral:rRNA from 1 species